rnacentral:rRNA from 1 species
GACGAACGCUGGCGGCGUGCUUAACACAUGCGAGUCGAACGGAAAGGCCCUGCUUUUGUGGGGUGCUCGAGUGGCGAACGGGUGAGUAACACGUGAGUAACCUGCCCUUGACUUUGGGAUAACUUCAGGAAACUGGGGCUAAUACCGGAUAGGAGCUCUUGCUGCAUGGUGGGGGUUGGAAAGUUUCGGCGGUUGGGGAUGGACUCGCGGCUUAUCAGCUUGUUGGAGGGGUAGUGGCUUACCAAGGCUUUGACGGGUAGCCGGCCUGAGAGGGUGACCGGCCACAUUGGGACUGAGAUACGGCCCAGACUCCUACGGGAGGCAGCAGUGGGGAAUAUUGCACAAUGGGCGGAAGCCUGAUGCAGCAACGCCGCGUGCGGGAUGACGGCCUUCGGGUUGUAAACCGCUUUCGCCUGUGACGAAGCGUGAGUGACGGUAAUGGGUAAAGAAGCACCGGCUAACUACGUG